rnacentral:rRNA from 1 species
GCCCGCUCAAGAAACUUAAAAGGAAGUUGACGGGGGCCCGGCACAAGCGGAGGAGCAUGUGGUUUAAUUCGAUGAUACGCGAAGGAACCUUACCUGGGCUCGAACGUAAGAUGACUGUAGGUGAAAGCUUACAUCUCUUCGGAGCAUUUUACGAGGUGCUGCAUGGUUGUCGUCAGCUCGUGCCGUGAGGUGUCGGGUUAAGUCCCAUAACGAGCGCAACCCCUACCUUUAGUUGCCAUCAGGUUAAGCUGGGGACUCUAAAGGAACUGCCUACGCAAGUAGUGAGGAAGGCGGGGAUGACGUCAAAUCAGCACGGCCCUUACGUCCAGGGCUACACACGUGCUACAAUGGCCGAUACAGAGGGCAGCUACCUGGUGACAGGAUGCAAAUCUCCAAAGUCGGUCUCAGUUCGGAUCGGAGUCUGCAACCCGACUCCGUGAAGUUGGAUUCGCUAGUAAUCGCGCAUCAGCCAUGGCGCGGUGAAUACGUUCCCGGGCCUU